AUUGAACGCUGGCGGCGUGCUUAACACAUGCAAGUCGAGCGGCAGCGGGCCCGCAAGGGUGCCGGCGAGCGGCGGACGGGUGAGCAAUACAUAGGAAUCUGCCUCAGAGCGGGGGAUAGCCAGGGGAAACCCUGAUUAAUACCGCAUGAUGUCGAAAGACCAAAGUGGGGGACCUAAGGCCCCACACUCUGAGAUGAGCCUAUGUCGGAUUAGCAGUUGGCGGGGUAACGGCCCACCAAGGCGACGAUCCGUAGCUGGUCUGAGAGGACGAUCAGCCACACCGGAACUGAGACACGGUCCGGACUCCUACGGGAGGCAGCA
rnacentral:rRNA from 1 species